rnacentral:misc_RNA from 1 species
GUGUGAAAUGCGGAGGUUUGGUAAGGACUUGACCAUAUAUGUCAAUGUCAACCUACCCCAUGUGUGCUUCUUAGCUGUAGGAAAAAACAAUUAGAACAAUGCUUGCAAACAUGUCAAAACUCUUGAGUCUUUGUGGAAAAUGAAAACUUGCUUUUUUUACUUUGAAUUGAUUGAGAAGCAAAAUGGAUCUCUUUUCCUGCAAUGGAUCACAUAUACAUGUGUAGCAAAUCAUCAUCCCAUUGAAUCCCAACACCCUUUACAAUCAUGGACAAGAAAAGCAUCCUUUUUCAACUAGCUUUUCUUCAAUUCUUAUCUGGGUUUCUAACUUUUAACUCCAUGAAUGUUCAAAUUCGUUGCCUCCAGAUUGAGAGGAAAGUGCUUCUUGAUUUCAAACAAGGUCUCACAGAUCCCUCUGGUAGGCUUUCUUCUUGGGUAGGUGAAGAAUGCUGCCAAUGGGAUGGGUUGACUUGCAAUAAUCUUACAGGACAUGUGAUAAAGCUUGAUCUUCGGAACCCAUUUCAAAGUGAUGAAGCAGGUCAUCAAGAAUCAGCUCUGAGAGGUAAGAUUAAUUCCUCUCUGCUUUACCUAGAAUAUUUAGACUACUUAGAUCUUAGCCUGAAUGAUUUUGAAGGAAGCCAGAUUCCAGGUUUCAUUGGCUCCUUCAGAAGUUUGAACUAUCUCAAUCUUUCUCAUGCAAAAUUCGGUGGGACAAUUCCUCCCCUUCUUGGAAAUAUGUCAAGCUUGCAUUUUCUUGAUCUUCAUGCAUUUUCCGAUUCUGAUCACUUGUUAAAUGCAAAAGACCUUCACUGGCUAACUGGUCUCUCUUCUUUGGAAUACCUUGAUCUUGGAGGGAUUGAUCUAGGCAGUGUUGUCAAUUGGCUAGAUGUAGUUAACAUGCUUCCUUCUUUGCUGGAACUACGCUUGCAAGACUGCAAUCUGCAGAACCUUCCUCAUUCCCUUCCAUUUGUUAAUUUUACAUCACUUUCAGUUAUUGAUCUCUCCAGAAAUCUUUUUAAUUCACCAAUGCCUGCUUGGCUCUUCAACAUUACUUAUCUUGAAGAUAUUCUUUUUAGUGCUAGCAAUCUCACGGGUCCCCUCCCCAACACUUUAACAAAUAUAAUUUCCCUUCAGCAUCUGGAUUUAUCUGAUCAAUUCUUGGAAGGUUUACUCCCAAGCAGCCUAGGAAAUCUCUGGAAACUACGGUCACUGAUAUUAUCAUCCAAUAACUUCAGUGGCAAUGUGAUUGAAUUUGUGGAUAGUUUAUCAAGAAAUAAUAGCUUGGAAGUGUUGGAUUUGACACAAAAUAAAUUUUAUGGUGAGUUGCCUGUUUCUUUGGGAAAUCUCACCAACCUGCGAUCUCUUGUCUUAGGGCAGAAUAGGUUCUGGGGUUCAUUGCCUGAGACUAUUGGAAGUUUGUCAUCCUUGGAAGCCAUAAGCAUGUUUGGCAAUCCAACAAAUGGUAGCAUUCCAGAAAGCAUGGGACAACUUUCCAAGCUGAUUGUUAUGAAUUUUGGACAAACACUUUGGACGGGUACCAUUUCAGAAAGGCAUUUCCUGAAUCUUACACGAUUAGAAAAUUUAGAAAUAUCAUCAACGUCUCUCAAGAAAUCAUUGAACUUUAAUGUGGGUAGCCAGUGGAACCCUCCUUUUAAACUUAAAUCCAUCAUACUUGCACACAUCCAAGCAGGUCCCAUGUUUCCUGAGUGGGUUCAAACUCAAAAUGAUUUAACCAGACUAUUCCUCAAUGAUAUUGAGAUUUCCAGCACUUUACCAGAUUGGUUUUGGAGUUGGUGUUCACAGCACAUUGAUGACCUGGAUCUUGCACAUAAUCAAAUAAGGGGAACAUUGCCCAGAUCGUUGCAUUUUCAUUAUGAAGCAAAUGUAUAUUUGAUUUCCAACAAGUUCAGGGGCCCUCUGCCAAUGUGGUCUAACGUGCGCCGCCUUUAUCUUUGGGGAAAUUCUUUUUCGGGUCUAAUUCCUGAAAACAUCAGUGAGAUCAUGCCAAAGCUACGGGAUUUAGAUCUUUCAGAAAACUGUCUCAGUGGUGGCAUUCCCCCUUCCAUUGUCAACCUGAGGCAUUUGAACACACUUGUUCUUUCAUUCAAUCAUUUAUCUGGAGAACUUCCUGCGGACUGGAGUCAACUUCAACACCUGCAAGUUCUAGAUGUAUCUAACAAUAAUCUCUCUGGUACCAUUCCCAGUUCAAUAGGUUUUCUUCAUUCACUCCAACUGCUAAGCUUGAGCAACAACAAAUUUACAGGCAAAAUCCCAUUAUCCUUGCAAAAUUGUACAGGACUCUGGAACUUUGAUCUUAGUGAAAACAGAUUGUCUGGAAGCAUACCAGCAUGGAUGGGAAACAUAACUUCCCUUCUCAUCCUGCAUCUGCGGUCAAACUUCUUAAGCAGUGAACUUCCUACACAACUAUGCCAUCUCUUGAAACUUCAUGUACUGGACCUUGCAGACAACAAUUUAUUAGGGUGGAUUCCCCAAUGUCUGGGAAAUUUAAGUGGAAUGAUCUCUGAUGUUCCUCCUGAAUUUGUCCACCUAUAUCAGGGACAUGCGACGCUUGUAGCUAAGGGAAGAGAGCUUGAAUACAGCAGCACACUUUCACUGGUAAAGACCAUAGAUCUUUCAGCCAACAAUCUGACUGGUAAAGUGCCUGAAGAGAUAACCGGCCUUCUCAGAUUGGGCACCUUAAACUUAUCCAUGAAUCAUUUGACAGGAAGAAUCCCACCAAUGAUUGGAAGCCUGCGCUGGUUGGAAACACUUGAUCUCUCAAAAAACCAACUUUCUGGCACAAUUCCAUCGAGUUUAUCUAUGAUAUCAUCCUUGAGUCACUUGAACCUAUCUUAUAAUAACUUAACAGGGAAAAUUCCAUUAGGUAACCAGCUUCAAACCCUGAAUGACCCGUCCAUUUAUGAAGGAAAUCCAGGACUGUGUGGGGAUCCACUAAAAACCAAGUGUCCCGAGGAUGAUACGUCGAGUGAAAGCAGUGAAGAAGGCAAUGGUGAAAAUGAAAGGUUUGAUAUUCUAUGGUUUUAUUUUGGUGUGGCAUCUGGAUUCAUUGUGGGGUUCUGGGCAGUAUGUGGAGCAAUGCUACUAAAUAAGUCAUGGAGGCAAAAAUAUUUCAAAUUCAUUGAUGAAAGAAAAGAUAAAGCAUGUGUCUUCAUUGCAGUAACACUGGCUCAUUGGCAAGGAAGAAUGAAGUCUAUCAGGAACAGAGACAGACAAGCAACAUUCUCAACCACUUAGUUUCAGUACUCAAAUGUUGUAAGAUAAGUGCGAUUUCAGUAUUCAAAUAUUGUCAGCAAGGUAAAUGAAAAUGAUACGCAUUUUCAACAACGAACUGAACAGCAUUUACACAGAUUGCUUCUUUGAUUUGAACCUUUUGUUUUCUUUACUCAAACAAUAAACUGAAAAC